UGGCGUAUAGCUCAGUUGGUUAGAGUGUUGGACUUUUAAUCCAAGUGUCUUGGGUUCGAGCCCCAAUACGCCUA
rnacentral:tRNA from 1 species